UCUGUCUCUGCAGCGACUGCCACCACCCUCACCGCACACAAACACGCACCCGGCCUCCUCCUGCACCAUCGCCCCUCUGCAGAGCUGCAGCACAACCCCGAAUUAUGGUCAGCCGCUCGUGAAAGCUCGACCUCCGCUCGUGACCCAGCAGAAGUUCAGUGGACCACUUCACGCCGAGGAGAGGAGUUCUGCCACCGGUCACACCCAACACGCAGACGCCACCGACAACUCACCGUGGAGAUCUGUGAUGGAGGGCUGAGGUGCAAACACCAGGCAGCUGCACGUCACACCCAGCCGAGCAGAUGUUCGGUGGAGCUAGAAGAUCAAACUAUGAACAACAUAAAGAGUAAAGUUAAGUCAGUUUGUUAAAAAGCUGAAGGGAUCGUUUGGUACGUGACCACUUCUCACUAUAGUGGUUCCCAAACUAGUCUCUAAUGAACGUGUCUCUAUGAGAUGAGAACUUCAUCAGCAGCAUCGUGGCUCAAAGGUCGGGUCUCAUCCUUGCCACUACAGUGAUGGCAAAAUACCAAUAAAACCAUUUAAACUGA